CCUACGGGAGGCAGCAGUGGGGAAUAUUGGACAAUGGGGGCAACCCUGAUCCAGCAACGCCGCGUGAGUGAAGAAGGUCUUCGGGAUUUAAAGCUCUUUUUGUAGGGAAGAAAAAGGUGACGGUACCUGAGUAAGAAGCCUCGGCUAACUACGUGCCAGGAGCCGCGCUAAUACGUAGGCGGCGAGCGUUAUCCGGAUUGACUGGGUGUAAAGGGUGCGUAGGUGGUUAGGCAAGUGAGGAGGGAAAUGCAAGGGACUAACCCUUGAACUGCUGCGGAAACUGUUGGACUUGAGUGCAGGAGAGGUAAGCGGAAUGCGUGGUGUAGCGGUGGAAUGCGUAGAUAUUAGGAAGAACACCAGUGGCGAAGGCGGGUUACUGGACUGUAACUGACGCUGAGGCACGAAAGCGUGGGUAGCAAACAGGAUUAGAUACCCGUGUAGUC
rnacentral:rRNA from 1 species